rnacentral:rRNA from 1 species
GACGAACCGUGCGAACGUUGUUCGGAUUCACUGGGCUUAAAGGGCGCGUAGGCGGAUCAGCAAGUCCGGGGUGAAAGCUUUCGGCUUAACCGGAAAAGGGCCUUGGAUACUGCUGGUCUGGAGGGAGGUAGGGGCAUGUGGAACUUCCGGUGGAGCGGUGAAAUGCGUAGAUAUCGGAAGGAACGCCGGUGGCGAAAGCGACGUGCUGGACCUCUUCUGACGCUGAGGCGCGAAAGCCAGGGGAGCAAACGG